UGCCAGCCGCCGCGGUAAUACGGAGGGGGUUAGCGUUGUUCGGAAUUACUGGGCGUAAAGCGUACGUAGGCGGAUUAAUAAGUUAGAGGUGAAAUCCUACCGCUCAACGGUAGAACUGCCUUUAAAACUGGCAAACUUGAGUUAUUGUGAAGUAAUUAGAAUGUGUAGUGUAGCGGUGAAAUGCAUAGAUAUUACACAGAAUACCGAUUGCGAAAGCAGAUUACUAACAAUUACCUGACGCUGAGGGACGAAAGCGCGGGUAGCGAACAGGAUUAGAUA
rnacentral:rRNA from 1 species